rfam:Triticum urartu cultivar G1812 contig291448, whole genome shotgun sequence.
UUUCUACUCCCUCCGUCCAGAAUUACUUGUCGAAGGAAUGGAUGUGUCUAGAUGUAUUUUAGUUCUAGAUACAUUCAUUUUUAUGCAUUUCUGCGACAAGUAUUUCCGGACGAAGGGAGCAUUUU